GUCCAGUGUGGUGUAAUGGUUUGAGUGUUGGACUACGACUCUGGAGAUCAGGGUUCCAUUCCCCGCUUGGCCA